rnacentral:lncRNA from 1 species
UCUUUGUCUCUUUUAUUAGCAGCUGCUGUGACCCAUGGGUAGAGAUUGAAUGUAAAAUGCAAAUCUCUUUGUAAAAAAAUGUUAUUUUCUCAUUCCUUAGUCAAAGAAGGCAUGGCCAUUUCAUCUCAUAGUUGUGAGAACCCAGCACUGUCCUUGUUCUAACGAAGAGCAUCUGGCAUAUUGAGAUGGUUUCUACUGUGGGCUUAAAUAACUAAAUGAAAACUUGCUAGAUGAGAAGGCAAAACAACAUAAUUGGCUUUACCCAGAGACAAUGUAGACUGUUACUUAUGUGAUAUUUUAAAAAUCUGUAUGGCUGCUGGAAAAACUUCCUGCCUGUAAGUAUCAGCUUCACCAACUUGCCAUGGGUACCUGCAACCUGUUCAUUGGUGGGUGUUCUCCUCCUUUGCUGUAUGCACUACCCUCUUCUGGUGGUGUUGGUGGGUCUCUGCCUCAAUGGUUUAGUUAGUCCAAUACUCUAUUUGCUAAGACUUGAGGUUGCAAGUGACUGAAAACGCAGUCCAAACCAGCUUAAUCAAAAAUCUGGAUCAUUGGAACUAGAUGCUGAAACGAUGUCAAGAGGACACAUCCCUCCUUCUCUUGAAUCUGUUUUUCUCUCUGCUCCUUUUACUGUAUUUAGGCAGGCUUAUCCCCAAAUGGUGGCAAGGUGAUUGUCUCAGCAGCCCCAGUAGAAGGACAGCAGCACUUUCCCUGUGGUCUUUGGUGAAGUCCUGAAGGGACAUGCUGCUCUCGGCCUUGUGCCCAUUCCUCACAGUCUCUAUGGCCCACAGAUAGAAUAUGCUGCUCAGAGGGGCUAAGUCAUGCGCCAAUCCUGGAUUGUUCAGGGUUGCAUCAACUUCAUCUCAGCCAUAGGCAGAGAGUGAGAAGUGGAUGGUUCACCAGAGAAAAGCAGGGCUGCUCUCAGAAGAAAGGAGAAGGCAUACAGGACAGCAAAAUAGCAGAUUCCACUGUAGCGCCUCACACUGGAGCACAAGUGUGCCUACUCCAUUGUCCUUCUGGGAUGGUUGAGGCCAGGAGCAUGGACAGCAGUGGAGAACUGGUGAAGAAGGGAGAGAAGGGAACUGGAGUCACAGGAAGGAGAGGUUGGAGCCGCCAAAGUUUAACCAGCUUCUUGGAUCCCUCGGAGAGCUUCUUCUGAACAGCAGAAACCAGCAAGAAGUUGCUACCAGGAGGGGACCUUGCAUCCUUCCUUGUGAUUUAGGUGAAGGCUUGAUUGGAGCACAUGUUUUCAAGAUCCUAGUAAUCUUAAAUAAAUAAUCCAAGCCCACGGCA